GACGAACGCUGGCGGCGUGCUUAACACAUGCAAGUCGAACGGAAAGGCCCUGCUUUUGUGGGGUGCUCGAGUGGCGAACGGGUGAGUAGCACGUGAGUAACCUGCCCUUGACUUUGGGAUAACUUCAGGGAACUGGGGCUAAUACCGGAUAGGAGCUCCUGCUGCAUGGUGGGGGUUGGAAAGUUUCGGCGGUUGGGGAUGGACUCGCGGCUUAUCAGCUUGUUGGUGGGGUAGUGGCUUACCAAGGCUUUGACGGGUAGCCGGCCUGAGAGGGUGACCGGCCACAUUGGGACUGAGAUACGGCCCAGACUCCUACGGGAGGCAGCAGUGGGGAAUAUUGCACAAUGGGCGGAAGCCUGAUGCAGCAACGCCGCGUGCGGGAUGACGGCCUUCGGGUUGUAAACCGCUUUCGCCUGUGACGAAGCGUGAGUGACGGUAAUGGGUAAAGAAGCACCGGCUAACUACGUGCCAGCAGCCGCGGUGAUACGUAGGGUGCGAGCGUUGUCCGGAUUUAUUGGGCGUAAAGGGCUCGUAGGUGGUUGAUCGCGUCGGAAGUGUAAUCUUGGGGCUUAACCCUGAGCGUGCUUUCGAUACGGGUUGACUUGAGGAAGGUAGGGGAGAAUGGAAUUCCUGGUGGAGCGGUGGAAUGCGCAGAUAUCAGGAGGAACACCAGUGGCGAAGGCGGUUCUCUGGGCCUUUCCUGACGCUGAGGAGCGAAAGCGUGGGGAGCGAACAGGCUUAGAUACCCUGGUAGUCCACGCUGUAAACGGUGGGUACUAGGUGUGGGGUCCAUUCCACGGGUUCCGUGCCGUAGCUAACGCUUUAAGUACCCCGCCUGGGGAGUACGGCCGCAAGGCUAAACUCAAAGGAAUUGACGGGGCCCCGCACAAGCGGCGGAGCAUGCGGAUUAAUUCGAUGCAACGCGUAGAACCUUACCUGGGUUUGACAUGGAUCGGGAGUGCUCAGAGAUGGGUGUGCCUCUUUUGGGGUCGGUUCACAGGUGGUGCAUGGCUGUCGUCAGCUCGUGUCGUGAGAUGUUGGGUUAAGUCCCGCAACGAGCGCAACCCUUGUUCACUGUUGCCAGCACGUUAUGGUGGGGACUCAGUGGAGACCGCCGGGGUCAACUCGGAGGAAGGUGGGGAUGACGUCAAGUCAUCAUGCCCCUUAUGUCCAGGGCUUCACGCAUGCUACAAUGGCUGGUACAGAGAGUGGCGAGCCUGUGAGGGUGAGCGAAUCUCGGAAAGCCGGUCUCAGUUCGGAUUGGGGUCUGCAACUCGACCUCAUGAAGUCGGAGUCGCUAGUAACCGCAGAUCAGCAACGCUGCGGUGAAUACGUUCCCGGG
rnacentral:rRNA from 1 species